rnacentral:tRNA from 1 species
CCGCGUGGUGGUCGACGGGCGCGAGGUGUCCGCGCUCGACGAGCGCGGCCUGGUCGAGCUGCGGCGCGACGUCGUCUCGUUCGUGUUCCAGACGUUCGGCC